CGCUAUCGAAGAACGCGUCACUUACUGAAACCUCAACGCCAUUUUAAGUGUCUGUUGUUCUUUAGCCGAGUCAAUUUUAUCCUCAUUUUGUGUAAUUAUUACUAAUUUCUAGUGAAAUGGCUAACGUAAAACAGGAAGCCGAAAGCCCAUCAACUAAAAGCAGCCAGCAACGUACAACACCUAAAGGUAAGGGGAGUAGUAAUAGUAGUAAUAAUAAAGACGGAAAUUUCAACAAAGGUGGAAAAGGCUCGAGUGGUGGUGGAUAUGGCGGCGGAAGACAAUCAGGAGGUGGUGGAAAUUUCAGCGGCGGUAGCGGUAGGCAACAGCACCAAGGAGGUGGCGGUGGAGGCUACGGUGGGCAGAGACCAAGCGGUGGACAAAGACAAAGCAAUCAGCAAAUGGGACAGAGGUUUGGAAAUCAACAAGACAAUCAAACUCCCCUUCCAUUGAACACAUUAAAUUUCGAUGAAACUGUUAAAAAAGACAAAAAAUUCACUCAGAGGUGCAGGUUGUUUGUUGGAAAUCUCACAAAUGAUAUUGAAGAUGAGGAGUUCAAGAAAAUGUUCGAGAAGUAUGGUGAAAUAUCAGAAGUUUUCUUGAACAAACAAAGAGGAUUUGGUUUUAUUCGACUUGAUACAAGGCAAAAUGCUGAAGCAGCUAAAGCUGCACUUGACGGAACAACUCGCAAGGGACGACAGCUUCGAGUCCGAUUCGCUACUCAUGGAGCUGCCCUGAAAGUCAAGCACUUGCCUCCUCUGGUUUCAAAUGAGCUCCUGGAACAUGCAUUUUCGCAGUUUGGAAUUGUGGAACGAGCUGUUGUUAUAGUAGAUGACAGGGGGAAAGCGACUGGUGAAGGUAUCGUUGAGUUUGCCCGCAAGCCAGGUGCACAAAAUGCACUGGCCAAGAUUAAGGAUGGAGUUUUUCUACUAACCUCUUGCCUGAGACCAAUAUCUGUUGAGGUGUUGGAACAAAAAGAUGAAGAAGAUGGUUUACCUGAGAAAAACCUUUCAAAGAACCAGAAUUACCAGAGAGAACGUGAUGGUCAACCAAGAUUCGCACCACCAAGCUCGUUUGAGUUUGAAUGGGGGUUGAGAUGGAAGGAGAUCUAUGAACUGGAGACAUCCCAGAGGGAACAACUUGAGAAACAGUUUGAAGAGAGAAGGGAAAAACUAGAGUCUGAGAUGGAUGGGGCCCGUUAUGAACACCAAACCAUCAUGAUGAGACAAGAUUUACAACGUAGACAAGAAGAAUUGAGAAGAAUGGAAGAGAACUUCAAGGAGAUUGAACAAAGACGGCAGGAAGAAUUCCGUCAGCGUUCUGAAUUGCGCAACCAGGAAUUGGAAUCUAUGAGGCAACGUCAGGAGGAGGUAACUCGUCGUCGGCAGGAUGAUAUGAGACGUCGUGCUCAGGGUGUUGAUCCAAGCAUGAUGGGAAGGGGCGAAACUGCAAUGAUGCAGGGAGAUAGCAUGGGACCACCAAGCCUUAUGGGACCAGGUGGUCAAGCUGGUGGCAUGAACAAUGCAGGGAACAUGAUGGGGGCAACUGGACCUAAUGGCCGUCAAGGACCAGUAGGUAUGGGCUCUGGUGGUCCAGGUCCAAAUGGACGUCAAGCAAUGGGGAACACCCAAGGAAUGCAGCCAGGAGGACCAGGUGGAAUGCCGUCGGUGGUGUUAGUUGCGGUUUCAGCAUAGGAUCUACCGCCAUCACUUGCUAUUGUCAACGGUUGGUGGAGAAACAACUUUGAUAUAUCUUGACUAACUUACUGGUUCUCAAGUUGCAUGAAAUGAUGGAAGGAUGCAAUGAUUGGACAUCCUGAAAUAUGGGCAUGAAAUUCUGGAAGGCCUACAAAUCGAAUGUAAACCUAUGAAGUGUAUCGCCAGUGCAAUAUUCUGUGAUACCGGUGACUAAGCUAAGACGAGCAAAUUAUCUACUCGCUAUGGAAUAUAUAUUUUUAUUGGGACAACACGUAAUGAUGUUACAAACUAAAUAUCUAGGUUUUACAAGACCUUUUGUCACAUUCCAUAAGUGACAGUAUUUUUUCUUUUGUGCAAUAACUUGUGAUGUUUAUUUAGAACAUUACUACCACUCAACAAUCUGUUGAAUGUUAAAAUAACUAAUUGAAAAACAAGUUGCAGUAUUUGUUUUGAUUUUAAUAUUGAGGUGCCAGUAUGUCCGAUGCAAUAACAGUAAACCAAAUACAGUAUUCAUACUAACAUCUGCUAUAGUAUAUUUUUAUAUAGUAUAUAUUUUUAAUUUUUUAAAUCGGAAAUAAAUGAAAUGUGAUGAUGAAAAUAA
rnacentral:misc_RNA from 1 species